rnacentral:tRNA from 1 species
GCCAAUGUAGCUCAGUAGAUAGAGCACUCGACUUGUAAUCGAACGGUCGGGGGUUUGAUUCCCUCCAUUGGCU